rnacentral:rRNA from 1 species
UGUAGCAAGGUUAACCGAAUAGGGGAGCCGGAGGGAAACCGAGUCUUAAUUGGGCGUUAAGUUGCAGGGUAUAGACCCGAAACCCGGUGAUCUAGCCAUGGGCAGGUUGAAGGUUGGGUAACACUAACUGGAGGACCGAACCGACUAAUGUUGAAAAAUUAGCGGAUGACCUGUGGCUGGGGGUGAAAGGCCAAUCAAACCGGGAGAUAGCUGGUUCUCCCCGAAAGCUAUUUAGGUAGCGCCUCGUGAAUUCAUCUCCGGGGGUAGAGCACUGUUUCGGCUAGGGGGCCAUCCCGGCUUACCAACCCGAUGCAAACUGCGAAUACCGGAGAAUGUUAUCACGGGAGACACACGGCGGGUGCUAACGUCCGUCGUGAAGAGGGAAACAACCCAGACCGCCAGCUAAGGUCCCAAAGUCAUGGUUAAGUGGGAAACGAUGUGGGAAGGCCCAGACAGCCAGGAUGUUGGCUUAGAAGCAGCCAUCAUUUAAAGAAAGCGUAAUAGCUCACUGGUCGAGUCGGCCUGCGCGGAAGAUGUAACGGGGCUAAACCAUGCACCGAAGCUGCGGCAGCGACACUGUGUGUUGUUGGGUAGGGGAGCGUUCUGUAAGCCUGUGAAGGUGUGUCGUGAGGCAUGCUGGAGGUAUCAGAAGUGCGAAUGCUGACAUAAGUAACGAUAAAGCGGGUGAAAAGCCCGCUCGCCGGAAGACCAAGGGUUCCUGUCCAACGUUAAUCGGGGCAGGGUGAGUCGACCCCUAAGGCGAGGCCGAAAGGCGUAGUCGAUGGGAAACGGGUUAAUAUUCCCGUACUUGGUGUUACUGCGAAGGGGGGACGGAGAAGGCUAUGUUGGCCGGGCGACGGUUGUCCCGGUUUAAGCGUGUAGGUGUGUGUUCCAGGUAAAUCCGGUUCACUUUAACACUGAGGCGUGACGACGAGGCACUACGGUGCUGAAGCAACAAAUGCCCUGCUUCCAGGAAAAGCCUCUAAGCAUCAGGUAACAUCAAAUCGUACCCCAAACCGACACAGGUGGUCAGGUAGAGAAUACCAAGGCGCUUGAGAGAACUCGGGUGAAGGAACUAGGCAAAAUGGUGCCGUAACUUCGGGAGAAGGCACGCUGACACGUAGGUGAAGUGAUUUACUCAUGGAGCUGAAGUCAGUCGAAGAUACCAGCUGGCUGCAACUGUUUAUUAAAAACACAGCACUGUGCAAACACGAAAGUGGACGUAUACGGUGUGACGCCUGCCCGGUGCCGGAAGGUUAAUUGAUGGGGUCAGCGCAAGCGAAGCUCCUGAUCGAAGCCCCGGUAAACGGCGGCCGUAACUAUAACGGUCCUAAGGUAGCGAAAUUCCUUGUCGGGUAAGUUCCGACCUGCACGAAUGGCGUAAUGAUGGCCAGGCUGUCUCCACCCGAGACUCAGUGAAAUUGAACUCGCUGUGAAGAUGCAGUGUACCCGCGGCAAGACGGAAAGACCCCGUGAACCUUUACUAUAGCUUGACACUGAACAUUGAGCCUUGAUGUGUAGGAUAGGUGGGAGGCUUUGAAGUGUGGACGCCAGUCUGCAUGGAGCCGACCUUGAAAUACCACCCUUUAAUGUUUGAUGUUCUAACGUGGACCCGUUACCCGGGUUGCGGACAGUGUCUGGUGGGUAGUUUGACUGGGGCGGUCUCCUCCUAAAGAGUAACGGAGGAGCACGAAGGUUGGCUAAUCCUGGUCGGACAUCAGGAGGUUAGUGCAAUGGCAUAAGCCAGCUUGACUGCGAGCGUGACGGCGCGAGCAGGUGCGAAAGCAGGUCAUAGUGAUCCGGUGGUUCUGAAUGGAAGGGCCAUCGCUCAACGGAUAAAAGGUACUCCGGGGAUAACAGGCUGAUACCGCCCAAGAGUUCAUAUCGACGGCGGUGUUUGGCACCUCGAUGUCGGCUCAUCACAUCCUGGGGCUGAAGUAGGUCCCAAGGGUAUGGCUGUUCGCCAUUUAAAGUGGUACGCGAGCUGGGUUUAGAACGUCGUGAGACAGUUCGGUCCCUAUCUGCCGUGGGCGCUGGAGAACUGAGGGGGGCUGCUCCUAGUACGAGAGGACCGGAGUGGACGCAUCACUGGUGUUCGGGUUGUCAUGCCAAUGGCACUGCCCGGUAGCUAAAUGCGGAAGAGAUAAGUGCUGAAAGCAUCUAAGCACGAAACUUGCCCCGA